rnacentral:lncRNA from 1 species
UACGUAUUUCAUUACCGAAACCCUAGUACUGAUCUAUCUCCGUUCGUAUAGACAUAAGAGCGAAAAAUCAAAACCCUAACACUACCUAAUUCUGACCAUAAACCAAACCCUAAUCUUGGCCCCCUAUCAGUCUGACGUGCAGCGACAUGAAAUACAAAAGGAUAAGUUGGCCGCGGCUAGGGUUAGGGUUUUCAGUUAUUCUGGUUCGCGUAUUAUUUUGGAUCCGUUUUCUAGAGGGAUUGUUUUUUUUUUUUCCGUAAUUCGAUUUCGCUUUCGGAUGGCAGAGAGAGAAAGAGAGAGAGAUUCGCGUUCUUUACAGGCAAGAGGACGGUUCGUCUUAAGGGAUUUUUAUAACGGGGUUUCGAUAGCCUGUGGUGGCCAACACUAAAUGCAUCCGCGUAACGCCGCUGAUUCAACCACGUGGCGUGCAGCUGGUACUAUUCAUUAGUUUCAUCAGCCAAAAAUCAAUC